rnacentral:rRNA from 1 species
UACGGAGGAUGCGAGCGUUAUCCGGAUUUAUUGGGUUUAAAGGGUGCGCAGGCGGCACGGCAAGCCGGCGGUCAAAUCGCGGGGCUCAACCCCGCCCAGCCGUCGGAACUGCCGGGCUAGAGUGGGCGAGAAGUGCGCGGAAUGCGUGGUGUAGCGGUGAAAUGCAUAGAUAUCACGCAGAACUCCGAUUGCGAAGGCAGGUCUCUGGGCCGUUACUGACGCUGAGGAGCGAAAGCGUGGGGAGCGAACAGG